ACGGGAGGCAGCAGUGAGGAAUAUUGGUCAAUGGGCGGAAGCCUGAACCAGCCAAGUCGCGUGAAGGAUGAAGGUAUUAUGUAUUGUAAACUUCUUUAGCCAGGGGGCAAUAAGGCGUACGCGUACGCCGAUGAGAGUACCUGGAGAAUAAGGAUCGGCUAACUCCGUGCCAGCAGCCGCGGUAAUACGGAGGAUCCGAGCGUUAUCCGGAUUUAUUGGGUUUAAAGGGUGCGCAGGCGGCUUUUUAAGUCAGUGGUUAAAUCGUGACGCUCAACGUCAUCACGCCAUUGAUACUGGAGAGCUUGAUUGCGGUCGAGGUUUGCGGAAUUCGUCGUGUAGCGGUGAAAUGCAUAGAUAUGACGAAGAACACCGAUUGCGUAGGCAGCAGACCAGGCCGUAAAUGACGCUCAUGCACGAAAGUGCGGGGAUCGAACAGGAUUAGAUACCCUGGUA
rnacentral:rRNA from 2 species